AUGGGAUCCAGAACACAUGCUUAUGUCUGAUUUGGCAGCUACUCAUGUCCUUCAAUUCACUACUGCCUUUAAGCAUCUGAAGGUUCUUUCACUAUGGGAAUUUUAAGAAAGAAGAAAAAGUACUUGUCUAAAGGAUUUCAAAGUAGUGCAUCUCAAACUGAGAAUUCUGCUAAUGGAGCUGUGGGGAGACUGAAAUACAACAAGGAAUAUCAGCUUUCUGUGAUUUUAUUUUCUCUGCAAAUUUCAAGCCAUACAUCCUCUUGCAGAUGUCAAACAAUGACUUCAUGACAGAAUGCCACUAGUUAUGACAGAAAUUUAGUGAGAAAUGAAGACACCGAUGCUUGGUAACAGUAGCGUUAAUCUGGAAUUAAGGAAAAUAUGAAAAUCGCACUGAUUUACCCUUACAUUGAGGAUAUAGGAGGUAUCUGUUCAAGAUGGGGGCUUCUCUGCCUACUUCUUCAUCAUGCUGAAGGAGGUCUGAAGGAAAAGCUAGAGGAAAAUCCACAACUUUUCUGUGGACCCAGGGUGGGAGACACACAGAAGAUAUGGAAGUUCUCCAGAGAACAUAUGGAAAGUGACUGGAUCUCUGGUCUAAUGUAUGCCAAAGUUUUUGAUCCAUUUGGAGUUGCGUUUUAUAUAGGAUGAUAAGUAUGGGUAUAUUUAAACUCUACGUACAGCCAUCCGGUUUGA
rnacentral:lncRNA from 1 species